AGUGAACGCUGUCGGUAGGCCUAACACAUGCAAGUCGAACGGCAGCACAGUAAGAGCUUGCUCUUACGGGUGGCGAGUGGCGGACGGGCGAGGAAUACAUCGGAAUCUACUUUUUCGUGGGGGAUAACGUAGGGAAACUUACGCUAAUACCGCAUACGACCUACGGGUGAAAGCAGGGGAUCUUCGGACCUUGCGCGAUUGAAUGAGCCGAUUUCGGAUUAGCUAGUUGGCGGGGUAAAGGCCCACCAAGGCGACGAUCCGUAGCUGGUCUGAGAGGAUGAUCGGCCACACUGGAACUGGGACACGGUCCAGACUCCUACGGGAGGCAGAAGUGGGGAAUAUUGGACAAUGGGCGCAAGCCUGAUCCAGCCAUACCGCGUGGGUGAAGAAGGCAUUCGGGUUGUAAAGCCCUUUUGUUGGGAAAGAAAAGCAGCAGGUUAAUACCCCGCUGUUCUGACGGUACCCAAAGAAUAAGCACCGGCUAACUUAGUG
rnacentral:rRNA from 1 species